CUCUUGAAAUAGUUUGGAUUACCUUCUUCCCUCUCCUCUUUCAUGCCUUCCUAUGAGAAAAUACACCAGAGGGAACAAGUCUGUAUUGGGAGUGGCUUCCUCUUGGUUUUCAGAGGGUGGCUGUGGGGAAGCAGUAGCUUGAAAUAGAAGAGUCCAUGGUUAACAUGCUGAGGAACUAAUACAGAAUGGAUCUGAGAACACAUUCAGAACCUACUCUCCUGGCAGACUCAACGGACUGGAGCAAACUCUGCAGUGGACUUAGGUCUUUGAUUCCUCUGAAAAAAAAAUGUCAAAAAAUGUAAAUGGAAAGCAAAAUCUACCAGAUUCACUAACAAGUCGGGAUGCCAUCUGCCAAAGUGUCUUCCAGAGUGCUUUUAUUUAUGGCUGACUUUCAAAACUUUGCAAAUGAAGUAGCAUAAUGGAAAUGUUGGCACCACCUUAUCUUUUUCUACACUAAUGCAGAGCCAUAUGAACACACUAGGGAUUCAUGGGUGUAAAACUUUGACCCCGUGGAAGCCCAGCUGGGAAUCAACAAACAUUCUUUUGUCUCAAUUUUUUUCUUAGAACUUCCUUGGGUUUAUUAGUAAUCAACCUCACCAUUAUUUUACCUAUCUGGAAUGAUGUUCAUCCCAAAAUAUACUCAUGACCUGGACACAGUACCCAUUUGUUGUUUUGUUCUAUGAGGAGCAAAAAACGCUAUAGCAGAGGACUUCCACAUCCCAUUUAACAAAUACCAGCUCCUUGAACAGGAAGGUGCAUUAACAAGAAGGUGUAAAAAGUCAUGACAGAGCCAAUGAAGGAAUCUCCAGUGAAAUAUUUUGGAAUGGGUAAGACAUGUAUGUGCAGACAGGGAAAUCACCUUCUGAAAGUGACUUCUCUCCACUCUUUGUAAACAAGCUUGGAAAACUUGCUCAGCCUGCAGUAUCUCCCUCGUAGACAUCUAAGAUUAGGGUAGGAGGAAACACUGAAGAAGUGUGAGAGUUAUACUUUAAUUGUGCUCCGCAAAAUGGGAAAUUAACAACAAUGCCUACUAAGAGCCACAGAAGCAGCCGAAUUAGAUGGAUUAGCUGACAGUUCAUUUCCUCUUUCUCUCUAUGGUGCUUUUAAC
rnacentral:lncRNA from 1 species